AAGGUGCUGCAUGGUUGUCGUCAGCUCGUGCCGUGAGGUGUCAGGUUAAGUCCUAUAACGAGCGCAACCCUUGUCAUUAGUUGCCAGCAUGUAAAGAUGGGGACUCUAAUGAGACUGCCGGUGCAAACCGCGAGGAAGGUGGGGAUGACGUCAAAUCAUCACGGCCCUUACGUCCUGGGCCACACACGUGCUACAAUGGUCAGUACAGAGGGCAGCUACCUAGUGAUAGGAUGCGAAUCUCGAAAGCUGAUCUCAGUUCGGAUUGGAGUCUGCAACUCGACUCCAUGAAGCUGGAAUCGCUAGUAAUCGCGUAUCAGCCAUGACGCGGUGAAUACGUUCCCGGGCCUUGUACACACCGCCCGUCAAGCCAUGGAAGCUGGGGGUGCCUGAAGUCGGUAACCGCAAGGAGCUGCCUAGGGUAAAACUAGUAACUGGGGCUAAGUCGUAACAAGGUAGCCGUACCGGAAGGUGCGGCUGGAUCACCUCCUU
rnacentral:rRNA from 1 species